CUUUUUGAAAAGACCGUUUAGUUUUUUCAGGCAGUUUUAUCUUUUCCUUGGUUUUUGAACCGUCACCUACUAUUUUUUCUCUCUCCAUCAAUCAAUUGAUUUAAUGAAGCAUUAAUCUAUCUAAGUUCAUCUCUCUCUACUUCGUUUAACCCCACCCUUCUUUCGCAUUUGCUUCCGGAACCUCCCUUUUGCCUUCUGAAAAAAGGAUAAGAGAAGAAUUUUUUCCUCUUCUUCUUUCGCUUUGCUAGAGGCUUUCUGGCUACUUACAGUCUUCGUUCCUUAUUUCUUCCCUAUUGCAGCUAAUAUUGCGUUCAGGUAAGAGUUUAUCUUUCCUUCACUCCCUUAUUCUUAUUCUAUUAUGUGUUGUAAUUUUGAUGAGAUGCAUGUAAUCGCUUUUAGAAUGUGAUAUUUCCUCUGAUGUUUGGUGUUUUUUUGCUGCUUGUUGCUUGUUUUUGGAUAAUUUUGAAUUGUUGUAGCAGUUGUUGUAGUAGGGGUACCACUAUUAGAUUUUGAUUUCCUCUCUUUGAGGUUUUGGAUAGUGUAAAAGAUUCUUAUUUGUGGAAUUUUUUAUGAUUUAGGAUAGAAAAUCAUCUUUCUGUAAAAUGGAGAAGAAAUUUCUCUUUCUUGACAUAGUGGUGGUGCCCCUGUAGGUAUUCUCGAGAUGCUGAUGUUGCCUCUCGUGAAAGGAUUAGGACAUCGUCUUCUAGACCAGCUUCCCAACCUCCUCAACGUGUAGGCCAACAACGCUUUGACCCGUAUUCAUGGGUUUCUGAAGAAGUAAAAUCUACUCCUUCUACCAUCAUGGAGGAUAAGCUUGAGGCCAUGCAUGUAGCCGGGGUUAUCUUCGAUUCCGACUUGGAGAAUCUAUAUGUGUUUUCCGUUCCUCAUCAAAAUGAUCAGAUUUGCCACUUUAAACAUCAUGCGGGUUCCUGACCUGAUUGGUUGUGGAUGUAUGAAACAUUAUUUACUCUUGUAGGAAUUCGUCUCCCGUUUUCUUAUUUUCAACAAGAUGUUUUAGGAUAUACUAGUUGUGCACCUUCACAGUUGCACCCCAACUCUUGGGCUACUAUCCGGGGUUUCAAAUUGUUGUGUUCAUUCUUAGGAUUGACCGCUACUUAUAGGAUUUUUUUUUCUAUUUUUUUACUUUGACAAUGCCUUUUAGUUCCAAGGGUCACAGGUUUAUCUCUUUCCGAAACAUUUCGAAUAUGAAGAUUUUUACUCUUUUUGAAGAGUCGUAUCAUAGUUUUAAAGAAAAGUUUUUUAAGAUUGAGAAGGUAGAGAGGACCACACCUUUUUUUAUGACUUUGGAGGAUGAAAAAAGGUUUAAUUUAUAUUAGAAUUUUCAUGUGUCAUCUCCCAAGAUCCAGCUGCAAAAUGUGAAUGCUUCCGACUUUGUGAGCAUCCAAAUGCUCUCAGAACUUUGGAAUGCCAACCUCGUGCCUUUUCGGACUGUCUUAGCCGAUGAGCACGCUGCUUAGAAUGCCAUUGUUGAUAUGGUUGGUGGGUUGGAAGCUGUUAUAGCUAUGAAGAGGAGGUUAGCUUCCUCUGACGCUAAUGUCCCAAUCAACCCAGGAAGUGGUAACCAGGUUUUCUCCUCCGCUACUUUGAGCAAUAUCCCUCCUCCACCAAGAUCCGGUAGAUCGGGAGGUUUACCACGAGGUUCAUGAUGUCGAAGAUGUUUCACCUCCACCUUCCCCCACCAAAAAGAAACAAAAGACAGGUAAGAGUCCUAUACCUGAAGUCCCUCCUCCGACCUCUUUCGGCUGCAUCUUAGAAAAGGAGUUUCAUGCUCCCGAGUUUGUUGAUGAGUACCUUCUCACCGAACAAACGAAACUUUUCUUAGAAGAGACUUUACCUCGGGUGCAAAAGAUUCUACUCCGUUUGGCCACCUAUACCAGAGUUGACGAAAAAGAGAUUGCCAUCUUUCAAUCUGAGGUAUCGGAGCAAGAAAAGGAGUUGAAGGAGGCAAGGUCGGAGGCUGCUAAUUUAAGCGAGACUGUGAAGAUUCUUAAAGAAGAAAAGAUGAAUCUUCAAGAUAAAGUGAAAACUCUAGAAGAGACGAAGGUGGCUUCCGAUGUUAGGGAAGAAAAAUAUAAGAAGCAAGUUUCCAAGCUUAUGUAGCGGAUUGUUGACCUUUCCUUUUCAGUUAAGAUGGCCAAACAAGCUGCCGUGGAUGGCGCUUUUGAUAUCGAGAAGAAUAUGUUGGACCAAAUCAAACUUAUAACUCCCGAGAUGAACGUCUCCAAUGUCGGGGUCUUUAAAAAAGUGGCAGAUAGAAAGAUCGUUAACAUAAUAUAACAUUGUAAAGAAUUUUUUAAGUGUCCUUUUGUAGUUAGGUCGAAACUUUCCUAAGUAGCAUUUUAUUUAUGCUUGAAUUAUUUUAAGCAACUUUAGUGUUUGUCUCUUUUUGAACUCUCAAAGCUCUUUGCCUUUGGUACACUGUUUAAGUACUUUACCGUUUUUCGGUUUAAAUAUCUAUCAGCUUUAAGCUAAUUUUCC